rnacentral:misc_RNA from 1 species
UUUUUUUUUUUUUUUUUCCUUGGAUGCAUAUGACCAGUGGGCUUUAAUGAAAAUUCUGUUCUGUUUACAGCUUGAGAAUGGAACAAAAAAUUAAUCUUAUCAUUGGCAUUAUUGGGAUAUUCUUUUAUAAGGGCAUUACUGGGAUAUCAAUUUGAUUUGAUUUGGCUGUUUAUAUGCAACAGAUUUUAAUGGAGUGGUGGUGGUGCGGAAUUAUCUAAAUAGGACUGGACGUGCAGAGUGGGCCAGACAGGUUAACUUAAUAGUCAAACUUUUCAUUAUAAAUAAUCUUUGUCAAGAAUGUUCAAUUUCAUUUACUUGCUUUUGUAACUUAGGAAGUACCUUAUAAUCUGCCCUCUCUAUAGUAAGCAAUUCCUGCACACUCUUCUUGAAACUUGAUGCUUACAUUUUUCUUUUAUAAUGCAUUUCUUCAGAACUGAAUGUGUAUUAAUAUUGUUUUUAUAGCUGUUGUUACCCAUGCAUGGAGACAAGUUUGCCGAGUCCACUGAUUUUCUCUCUCUUGUUGAGUUCUCAUUCAAUUUUGUUCUAUAUAUCAGUAUUUCGAGUCCAUUUUCCCCAUAAAUUUCUACAUUACAAUUCCAAGUCCAAUCUAAUUUUUCUUGGUUAGCUUAAUUUUUAAGUUUCUCUCUAGCAUUUUAUACCUCAAAAGUUUUUGUGUAAUGCCUGAUGCAAAUCUUUAGACCACCAACAUCAUUGGAGUCAGAUAGUCAAUGCAGCCAAAAAUUUUGAAUCCAGUUGAUGCAGUCAGGGAAAACUGGAUUUAGGGAUUAUUUUGAUAUAAAUCUUUAUUAGGAAAUUCAAAAUUUUCUUGUAACAUUUUUAUUUAGAAAUGAGGAUUAAUAUCUCUUGCAGAUUUUGUUAUCUUAGGAAUGUAUAUAUAGUUGUUUGGUUCCCUAUUUAAUAUUGGUUUAGAUUUUUCUUAGUUUGGGUUUGGGAUUCCUAUUCCCAUCCAAGUUGUAACUUUUUAUUCCCUCUUUGUACUCCCUCAAUCGUUACAUGCGUACAAAUUUCAGCCUCAAAACUAACAAACCGUAACUCCCUAAGACUAAUCAAUUGCUUCAAUUUGCUCAUCACAAAGCAUUAGUAGGUUUGUGGUCAAUCUGUCCUGCUUCACCUAUUUUUCUAGUAGUAAGGCUGCUAAAAUAAUCAUUCUCAUUCCCCACUUGACCUUUUAGUGGAAUUAAGAGGUCUCUGACACUUAAACUUGAAUUUCCUUGUUUUAUUCAGUCUCAACAUGGCCAAGACUUUGCCAUAUAGCUGAUCCAUUUAGUUUGGGAAUUGGGAUAAAAGUUUAGUUCAGUUGAGUUAUUAUUUUAAAAGAGUUGAUUUCUGCCUUGGAUUGAUUGAUGCAGUUCAACCUUAGGUGUGAUGCUUUUCGGUCCCAAGCUCAUCUAAGAUCAAUGAUGCUUAUCAAGAGGCUUCAGGAGGCUUAAUUUUGUAAGGGAAAAAAAAGAAGAAGAAGAAGAUAAUCACAAGAAAAGAGUUUGGUUGCGGGAGAAAGGAGAAGAGGAACUAGAGGCGAGUUAAAGCAUCGAGAAGAAAUGAUUUGUUUAUUCAAGACUGAAUUGGAUUACAUCAAAUAGCUCCCUUUUUCUCUCUCCACUGUUUACUUUACUGUCAAAAUUAUAGUAACAUCUAAGUAACUCAUUGGCAGCUAAGGCUUAAAAACAGUUGCAACAUUUCUGUUGGCAACUAGUAUAGCUGACUGACUAGAUUUGUCAAGUUGAAAUAUUCUUACCAGAUGCACGUGUCGAUAUAAUUGAGAUUUGAAAUUCUUAUUGAAUCCUAGAAGUAUCGGAAUUUGCUUCCCUAUUAGAUUGCCUCAAAAGAACCCUAAAUUUUUCCCAAAUUACUAUUCACAAUCACAGGUAACACUUGCAAAUCUGCAUUAUGAACCACCUAGGUUAUGGUCUUUUCUCAUUUUAUUUUGUCCAUAUUUGUACGCAUUUGCAACCCUAGCUGCCUGCAUAACAUAAUCCCUUAAACAAGCCGAAACUUUUAAUUUGCAAGUCUUACAUCAACUGGGGUAUCACAUUUCUAAUGCUGUCCUUGUAGACAAUUCAUGUAUUGUCUUCUGAGGUUGAUCCUACUUUUAUGUUUGCAUGUACUGGCUUCUAGUUAGACCUAACCAAGCACCAGUUUGGAACCGGAAUCAAAUUGGAACUGGACCAGUUGAAACUGGAUUGGUCAAAACUGGAAUGACCAAAACCGGCAUUGAACUGAGUGAAAUAGGACUGGAGCUGGCAGGUUCAUUCCGGAUCAAUCCUUUUGUUUUUCUUCUUUUUUAAAAAUUAAAGAAAUUUAAAGAAAGUCAACCAUUGGAUUUGAUUAGAAUCAGAAACAAACUAGAGCCAAACCAAAACCGGAACCAGACUGGAAUUAGACUGAAACCAGAACCAAACUGAAAUUGGGGGAACUCUGGAUGGCCAGUUGUCCUCCAGAACCUUGAAUUGGAACUGUCAGUUUAGGCGGUUCAGGCCUAGAACUGGCCCCUGGCCGCCCCUACUUCUAUUGGGUGGUCUGACAAUGAAAGGCAGAACCAAUUUAUCCAUUCUAUUCUGUUAUUGAACUGCGAAUGAUGAAUUUCUAACAUGGUAGAUGUGUUUGUGCAUAUGUUAGUAUAUGCAUAUGUAACUAACUGGAGUUGCUGCUGUGCAGUUUCGUGAAGCUGCAAAGGAGAAGGAUGAUACUGCAUUGCUCAAGAUCAUGUCAAACUAUGGCGAGGAAGUAGUUACCGCUUUAGGAAGUGAAGUUGAUAGGCUUGAAAAGGAGAUCCAGGAGCUUGUUCCUGGUAUUCGGCAUGUUGAUAUAGAAGCUCACAAUCCAACAGGACCAACCCCUUGAUUAUAAUGUUCAUACGGCAUUUCUAUGUUACAUAAUGCAUGGAUGAAUAUCAUGCAUGCAACAAGAAAUGGCAGAUAAAUGGCUUUUUGCAUAUUUGCGCCAAGUAACAUACUAUGCAAAUAUUUAUAGGGAGAUUCCCAAUCUGUUAAUAUAUGGAUAGUUUUCCUGGAAUUGGUAUAUUUUAAGAAUUUGCCUUGAGCAAAUUGAUUGGAAUUUUCUAGACAGUUGAGCUGCCUUUGGUUUUCAUGAAAUGAAUUAAUUUUGUUCGUAAGUUGCAUGUGUUGAAUACAAAAUCGUGGAAUGUUU